GGCUUGUGACUCAGUGGUAGAGUGCUCGCCUAGAACAUGUGAGGCACAGGGUUCGAUCCCCAGCACCA
rnacentral:tRNA from 1 species